GCCGAGGUGGUGAAAUUGGUAGACACGCUAGCUUCAGGUGCUAGUGGGCGUUUAGCCCGUGGAGGUUCAAGUCCUCUCCUCGGCACCA
rnacentral:tRNA from 3 species